CGGGGUGAGUAAUGUCUGGGAAACGUGCCUGAUGGAGGGGGAUAACUGCUGGAAACGGUAGCUAAUACCGCAUAACGUCGCAAGACCAAAGAGGGGGACCUUCGGGCCUCUUGCCAUCGGAUGUGCCCAGAUGGGAUUAGCUAGUAGGUGGGGUAACGGCUCACCUAGGCGACGAUCCCUAGCUGGUCUGAGAGGAUGACCAGCCACACUGGAACUGAGACACGGUCCAG
rnacentral:rRNA from 1 species